CUCUGUUGCUUCUUUUGUUUCUUAUAUUUUGCUCCGUUUCACAGUUAGAAUUCUAUGAAACGGAGUAUAUAAGAAAUAAAAGAAGCAAUAGAA